AAGGAUCCCACCGCUCUCUUAGAGCUCCAGUGCUUUUCUUUUUGGAAAGGGGUGUGUAUGUGUGUACUUUGCUCUGAACAGGAAGAUAAGGACUGCCCAGAGCAUUCAGUGCCUAGUAAACAGACUGGACAAAAGAUAGGUAGCUUAGUAUUUGCGGGGUAAUAGAAGUAAUUGCAAUGUUUCUAAUCGGUCUUUGCAAAUCAUCAAGAAUAAAAUGUGGAUGUGUAAUAUUGAUUUUAUGUGUGCAUUUAAAAUUCAAUAUGUUCAUCUAUCAUACCCACUUCAUCUUUUAAACUUACUUCAAAUAUGAAUUCCAAUAACUUACCUCCGAAGACUUCGUCCGCAGCUUCCAAAUCCCAUAAUACUUCGCUCAUGGACGUUUCGUUUAACACCUACUCUUUCAACAAGGUAACAAACUCUUGGAAUGCAGAUCUCUUUCACCAGGAGCUCUAUACAGAAUAGGCACUUAGUGAAGGUCGGUGGACUGCUAAAGGAGCACUACUGUGAAUCGUUCCCCUGCCCCAGGAAUGCAGAUAAGAAGACAAUUUGAAGAACUAGCCUUAGUUGAAAUUGAUAUUGUAUCCUGCUAUUGAAGAGAAUAACCAGGAUCACGGAGAUGAGAAACGUUUAAAUGAGAGAGAGAGAGCAGAAGGGAGAGAGAGAACCAUGGGUGGGAGAGAAGAAUUGAUCGGUUGCCUCCGUCUGCACCCGGACCGAGACAGCGCACCAGAACCUGGGAAUGACCAUGUCCCGACUGGGAGUUAACCGCGUCGCACCCAGACUGGGGAUGAACCCGCAACCCAGGACUGAGCCGGGUCGAGGGAGGGAAGCUUCAAACUUUCGGUUAUGGGACCACGCUCCAACCACCGAACCUCACUGGCCACGGACUCAUGAAGUAUGUGUUAUCAUAUCCCUUUCAGUUCAUUUUAGUUAGGAGGACGU